GCCUGUUGCUGAAGAUUCAGAACUAGCAGCAACACCAAAACAAAAAGAUCAAGCUGGGGUGACAUUGUAACGAGAACUUCUCAGCUGGAGUUAAUUGAUUUGAACAAUUCAAGUCCACCAGGCAAAUCAGCCCAGGACAGCUUACCACGCUGGCCGAGUUAAUUUUUUUUUCACAUAGUUUUUGAACGGCUGCGAUGUUAAGAGGAGACCAAAGGCUGUGAGAUGGAGAAAAUAGAAUUCACUGAAUGUCAAGGGACUUGCCCAGGGACACACAGUGUUGUGCUUUCUCCAUUACACAGUCACCUAAUUGAAGAUUGGCCCCAAAUCUUAUUUAUCUUGGUGUCCUAUUGGCUAAUGGCCAUGCCUCACACAUAAUAAGUAUUGAGAAAAUGAUUGUUGAUUAAAUGAAUGAAGGU
rnacentral:lncRNA from 1 species